ACGGGUGAGUAACACGUGGGUAACCUACCUAUAAGACUGGGAUAACUUCGGGAAACCGGAGCUAAUACCGGAUAAUACUUCGAACCGCAUGGUUCGAUAGUGAAAGGUGGUUUUGCUAUCACUUAUAGAUGGACCCGCGCCGUAUUAGCUAGUUGGUAAGGUAACGGCUUACCAAGGCGACGAUACGUAGCCGACCUGAGAGGGUGAUCGGCCACACUGGAACUGAGACACGGUCCAGACUCCUACGGGAGGCAGCAGGC
rnacentral:rRNA from 1 species